UAGCUUGCUAAUGAAAUUCUUAGUGGCGGACGGGUUAGUAACACGUGAGAAUCCUACCCUUGAGUGGGGAAUAGCCUUUCGAAAGGAAGAUUAAUGCCCCAUAGUCUCUACGGAGUAAAGAUGCCUUCGGGUGUCGCUUAAGGAUGGGCUCGCGGCCUAUCAGCUAGUUGGUGAGGUAAGAGCUCACCAAGGCAACGACGGGUAGCUGGUCUGAGAGGACGAUCAGCAACACUGGAACUGAGACACGGUCCAGACACCUACGGGUGGCAGCAGUCGAGAAUCAUUCACAAUGGACGAAAGUCUGAUGGUGCAACGCCGCGUGGAGGAUGACGGCCCUAGGGUUGUAAACUCCUGUCAUCAGGGAGUAAGACUUAUUCGUUAAUAGCGUGUAAGUUUGAUAGUACCUGAAGAGGAAGGGACGGCUAACUUCGUGCCAGCAGCCGCGGUAAUACGAAGGUCCCAAGCGUUGUUCGGAAUAACUGGGCGUAAAGCGUGUGUAGGCCGCGCGGAAAGUCGGAUGUGAAAGCCC
rnacentral:rRNA from 1 species